UACGUAGGGUGCAAGCGUUGUCCGGAAUUAUUGGGCGUAAAGAGCUCGUAGGCGGUUUGUCGCGUCGAAUGUGAAAACCCGGGGCUCAACCCCGGGCCUGCAUUCGAUACGGGCAGACUAGAGUUCGGUAGGGGAGACUGGAAUUCCUGGUGUAGCGGUGAAAUUCGUAGAUAUUAGGAAGAACACCAGUGGCGAAGGCGGCUCACUGGUCCGGUACUGACGCUGAGGUGCGAAAGCGUGGGGAGCAAACAGG
rnacentral:rRNA from 1 species